rnacentral:rRNA from 1 species
UACGGGGGGGGCAAGCGUUGUUCGGAAUUACUGGGCGUAAAGGGCUCGUAGGUGGCCAACUAAGUCGGACGUGAAAUCCCUCGGCUUAACCGGGGAACUGCGUCCGAUACUGGUUGGCUUGAGUUUGGGAGAGGGAUGCGGAAUUCCAGGUGUAGCGGUGAAAUGCGUAGAUAUCGGGAGGAACACCUGAGGCGAAGGCGGGCUACUGGGCUGAUACUGACGCUGAUGCGCGAAAGCCAGGGGAGCGAACGGG